rnacentral:rRNA from 1 species
GUGAGGAAUUUUCCGCAAUGGGCGAAAGCCUGACGGAGCAAUGUCGCGUGAAGGAUGAAGGCCUAUGGGUUGUAAACUUCUUUUCUCAGAAAAGAAUUAUGACGGUAUCUGAGGAAUAAGCAUCGGCUAACUCUGUGCCAGCAGCCGCGGUAAGACAGAGGAUGCAAGCGUUAUCCGGAAUGAUUGGGCGUAAAGCGUCUGUAGGUUGUUUAAAAAGUAUUCUGUCAAAGAUUAGGGCUUAACCCUAGAUAGGCAGAAUAAACUUUUAAGCUAGAGUUUGGUAGAGGCAGAGGGAAUUCCCGGUGGAGUGGUGAAAUGCGUAGAUAUCGGGAGGAACACCAAAGGCGAAGGCACUCUGCUGGGCCAAUACUAACACUGAGAGACGAAAGCGAGGGGAGCAAAUGGGAUUAGAAACCCCAGUAGUCC